ensembl:lncRNA LINC01326 long intergenic non-protein coding RNA 1326
AGACAGAUCUCACAUUCAUGUUAACUGGUUUAUUUUGAAGCAUAACAUUUCAUCAAGGUGUAUACCUGUAUGUGAAUAUUUAACAAUUUAGAAACUGAAACAGAUGCAGAUGAAGAAUGACCUACUUGAAAAUUUACCAGCCAAGCCUGUAAGCUGUGUAGAGUAAUGUCAACACAAAGGAAAUAUCAAUUCAAGUGGAUUCCAAUGUGCAAUCACAGUCAUUAGUAUGGAUUGGUGUCAAACUUUCAAGCAUUUGCCUUGUUUAUUGAACAACCUAAUAAUUCAAAAUGGUAAUGGGAAGAGGGUGGAGUAGGAAAAUAAGGAUAGACUCUGAAACCAAGGUCCUUAGGGCUUCUAUAUGAAUUUCAGAAUUACUGUCAAAUAAAUAUUUAUUGGUGUCCUUUCUCUUGUAUGUAGACAAUAAGUACACAUACAGAUAGCUGUCUAAAAAUUAAGUGUUAAGCUGGAAUUAGAUAUUGAAAUUGAGUACCAAUAUUAUCUUUAGUCAAUUUCCCUUAGGAUACUAUUUUGUGAAGAGAAAAUAUUAUUCAUGUGCAUAUUAAUUAAAGCUUUUAAAAUGAUCACUGAAAAUGUAUCCUCUGACCUGCAGAGUAUAUCCAGUGUAUGUUCUUAAGUCCUGGUGCUAGAUGCAAAUUAAAGAUGAGUAAUGCAAAUUGAAAUUUCCAUGAAAUGAAUCAUUCUACAUAAUGAGCUUUACAAAUUCCACAUUUUAUGCAAUACCAAAAAUAAAAAAA